rnacentral:rRNA from 1 species
CAGUCGCCGCGGUAAUACGGAGGAUCCAAGCGUUAUCCGGAUUUAUUGGGUUUAAAGGGUGCGUAGGUGGCCUGUUAAGUCAGGGGUGAAAGACGGUAGCUUAACUAUCGCAGUGCCUUUGAUACUGACGGGCUUGAAUACACUAGAGGUAGGCGGAAUGUGACAAGUAGUGGUGAAAUGCAUAGAUAUGUCACAGAACACCAAUUGCGAAGGCAGCUUACUAUGGUGUCAUUGACACUGAGGCACGAAAGCGUGGGGAUCAAACAGGAUUAGAUACCCCUGUAGUCCCUGUCUCUUAUAC